rnacentral:rRNA from 1 species
GACGAACGCUUGCGGCGUGCUUAACACAUGCAAGUCGAACGGAAAGGCCCUGCUUUUGUGGGGUGCUCGAGUGGCGAACGGGUGAGUAACACGUGAGUAACCUGCCCUUGACUUUGGGAUAACUUCAGGAAACUGGGGCUAAUACCGGAUAGGAGCUCCUGCUGCAUGGUGGGGGUUGGAAAGUUUCGGCGGUUGGGGAUGGACUCGCGGCUUAUCAGCUUGUUGGUGGGGUAGUGGCUUACCAAGGCUUUGACGGGUAGCCGGCCUGAGAGGGUGACCGGCCACAUUGGGACUGAGAUACGGCCCAGACUCCUACGGGAGGCAGCAGUGGGGAAUAUUGCACAAUGGGCGGAAGCCUGAUGCAGCAACGCCGCGUGCGGGAUGACGGCCUUCGGAUUGUAAACCGCUUUCGCCUGUGACGAAGCGUGAGUGACGGUAAUGGGUAAAGAAGCACCGGCUAACUACGUGCCAGCAGCCGCGGUGAUACGUAGGGUGCGAGCGUUGUCCGGAUUUAUUGGGCGUAAAGGGCUCGUAGGUGGUUGAUCGCGUCGGAAGUGUAAUCUUGGGGCUUAACCCUGAGCGUGCUUUCGAUACGGGUUGACUUGAGGAAGGUAGGGGAGAAUGGAAUUCCUGGUGGAGCGGUGGAAUGCGCAGAUAUCAGGAGGAACACCAGUGGCGAAGGCGGUUCUCUGGGCCUUUCCUGACGCUGAGGAGCGAAAGCGUGGGGAGCGAACAGGCUUAGAUACCCUGGUAGUCCACGCUGUAAACGGUGGGUACUAGGUGUGGGGUCCAUUCCACGGGUUCCGUGCCGUAGCUAACGCUUUAAGUACCCCGCCUGGGGAGUACGGCCGCAAGGCUAAAACUCAAAGGAAUUGACGGGGCCCCGCACAAGCGGCGGAGCAUGCGGACUAAUUCGAUGCAACGCGUAGAACCUUACCUGGGUUUGACAUGGAUCGGGAGUGCUCAGAGAUGGGUGUGCCUCUUUUGGGGUCGGUUCACAGGUGGUGCAUGGCUGUCGUCAGCUCGUGUCGUGAGAUGUUGGGUUAAGUCCCGCAACGAGCGCAACCCUUGUUCACUGUUGCCAGCACGUUAUGGUGGGGACUCAGUGGAGACCGCCGGGGUCAACUCGGAGGAAGGUGGGGAUGACGUCAAGUCAUCAUGCCCCUUAUGUCCAGGGCUUCACGCAUGCUACAAUGGCUGGUACAGAGAGUGGCGAGCCUGUGAGGGUGAGCGAAUCUCGGAAAGCCGGUCUCAGUUCGGAUUGGGGUCUGCAACUCGACCUCAUGAAGUCGGAGUCGCUAGUAAUCGCAGAUCAGCAACGCUGCGGUGAAUACGUUCCCGGG